UACGACUACAUAUCAGGCAUAUCAAUAAGCGGAGGAAAAGAAACUAACUAGGAUUCCCUCAGUAACGGCGAGUGAAGCGGGAAGAGCUCAAAUUUGAAAUCUUCAAGGUUUGACCUUGACGAAUUGUAGUUUAAAGAAGUGUUUUCUGUUAGAGGAGUAGGUAAAAGUUCCUUUGGAAUAGGACAUCAUAGAGGGUGAGAAUCCCGUAUUUGACUAUUCUUUCCUAGCUUUGUGAUACACUUUCAAAGAGUCGGAUUGUUUGGGAAUGCAGUCCAAAAUGGGUGGUAAAUUUCAUCUAAAGCUAAAUAUUGGCGAGAGACCGAUAGCGAACAAGUACCGUGAGGGAAAGAUGAAAAGAACUUUGAAAAGAGAGUUAAACAGUACGUGAAAUUGUCAAAAGGGAAGCGUUUGACACCAGUGUUGUUUUUCCGAAAAUCAAUUAAAAAUUGAUUCAUGCCAGGUUGUAUUGACCUUAUCAGCUUGCAAUUUGGUUUUGGGUCUCUUUUUGAUGCACUUUUCGGUUAACAAGUCAACAUCAAUUUCCUUUGCUGUAAAAAGGUAAGAGGAAGGUGGCUUCAAUUUCGGUUGAAGUGUUUAUAGCCUUUAUAUCUCUGCAGUCGGGGAGAUUGAGGUCUGCAGCGUAGAUCCUUCGGGGCUAGAUACAUUUAUGCUAAGUUAUAGCUUUUCAUAGACAACUUGUUGACUAUGUUUAGUCAUGUAGCUUACUCGUAAGUGCUAUUUACCUACGCUUAGGAUGUUGAGCGCAUGUCUCUCUCU
rnacentral:rRNA from 1 species